GAUGAACGCUGGCGGCGUGCCUAAUACAUGCAAGUCGAGCGAACAGACGAGGAGCUUGCUCCUCUGACGUUAGCGGCGGACGGGUGAGUAACACGUGGAUAACCUACCUAUAAGACUGGGAUAACUUCGGGAAACCGGAGCUAAUACCGGAUAAUAUAUUGAACCGCAUGGUUCAAUAGUGAAAGACGGUUUUGCUGUCACUUAUAGAUGGAUCCGCGCCGCAUUAGCUAGUUGGUAAGGUAACGGCUUACCAAGGCGACGAUGCGUAGCCGACCUGAGAGGGCGAUCGGCCACACUGGAACUGAGACACGGUCCAGACUCCUACGGGAGGCAGCAGUAGGGAAUCUUCCGCAAAGGGCGAAAGCCUGACGGAGCAACGCCGCGUGAGUGAUGAAGGUCUUCGGAUCGUAAAACUCUGUUAUUAGGGAAGAACAAAUGUGUAAGUAACUAUGCACGUCUUGACGGUACCUAAUCAGAAAGCCACGGCUAACUACGUG
rnacentral:rRNA from 1 species